rnacentral:lncRNA from 1 species
UUGCUCUUCUGCCUUCCUAGUCUCCUCUGACUACACUUGGGCAUUGGCUCACCUUGCAUCACAUGGCUGAUCUUCGCUCGUCAUGACUUCGUAGCGUUGCUGAUUUGUGAUUGGUGCUUGCUGAGUGGACUGGAUUGCCAGUGAUGAUUCGUGUUGGUGUCUUGAAAGUGGACUGGACUGCUGACAAUGAAGACUGGAAUUGCCCCAAAGAAUUUAUUUCUAAACAGGUCCACAACCCCUGUUUCCUAUUAACCUUUCUUUUCCAUUACCUCUGGAGGGUAGUGGGCUAGAAGGGAGGUUGAAGUGUUUAGAACCCUUAUUAAAGUGGAUUUUGAAAAUCAAAGACUACAGAAAUGGUCUGAGGUGCCUAAUGUUCAGGCCUUCUGAUCAUCUGCUAGGACAAGGAGACAUGCAGGGAAGGCUCAGUGGGGAUGCCUGUUGCAACGGUUUGUAUAUUCUUGGCCUAGGGAGUGGCACUAUUUAAAGAUGUGGCCUUGUUGAAGUAUUUGUCCCUGUGGGCAUGGGCUUUAAUACCCUGUCCUAGAUGCCUAUCCAACCAAUGUUCAGAGGGCCUUCAGAUGAAGAUGUAGAACUCUCAGAUCCUUCUGCACCAUGCCUGCCUGGAUGCUACCAUGCUCCUGCCUUGAUGAUAAUGGACUGACUUCUGAACCUCUAAGC